UUCUGUCUCGCAACUUGCAGACCGUCCGCUAGGGCUGGACCGUCCGCCCUUGUGCUGCGGACUUUCCACCUAUAGUCCGCAAAACAGUUAGAGACCAUUCACUAGGGUCGGACCAUCCACACCUGUGCUGCGGACCGUCUGCAUAUAGUCCGCAGAAUAGUCAGAGACUAUACAGUCUUCAAGGUGUUCGUGUUGAAGUUCUGGCUCGGUUGCUUCUUGAGGAUCCUGCUAUGUCUAUUGGUC
rnacentral:lncRNA from 1 species